AGUGAACGCUGGCGGUAUGCCUAACACAUGCAAGUCGAACGGCAGCACAGUAAGAGCUUGCUCUUACGGGUGGCGAGUGGCGGACGGGUGAGGAAUACAUCGGAAUCUACUUUUUCGUGGGGGAUAACGUAGGGAAACUUACGCUAAUACCGCAUACGACCUACGGGUGAAAGCAGGGGAUCUUCGGACCUUGCGCGAUUGAAUGAGCCGAUGUCGGAUUAGCUAGUUGGCGGGGUAAAGGCCCACCAAGGCGACGAUCCGUAGCUGGUCUGAGAGGAUGAUCAGCCACACUGGAACUGAGACACGGUCCAGACUCCUACGGGAGGCAGCAGUGGGGAAUAUUGGACAAUGGGCGCAAGCCUGAUCCAGCCAUACCGCGUGGGUGAAGAAGGCCUUCGGGUUGUAAAGCCCUGUUGUUGGGAAAGAAAAGCAGCAGGUUAAUACGCCGCUGUUCUGACGGUACCCAAAGAAUAAGCACCGGCUAACUUCGUG
rnacentral:rRNA from 1 species